rnacentral:rRNA from 1 species
GAAACGGAUGCUANUACCAGCAUACGCCCUACGGGGGAAAGCGGGGGAUCUUCGGACCUCGCGCUAUUGGAUGAGCCUAAGUCGGAUUAGCUUGUUGGUGAGGUAAUAGCUCACCAAGGCGACGAUCCGUAGCUGGUCUGAGAGGACGACCAGCCACACUGGGACUGAGACACGGCCCAGACUCCUACGGGAGGCAGCAGUGGGGAAUAUUGGACAAUGGGCGCAAGCCUGAUCCAGCAAUGCCGCGUGUGUGAAGAAGGCCUGCGGGUUGUAAAGCACUUUCAGUAGAGAAGAAAAGCCUAGGGUUAAUACCCCUGGGUCUUGACGUAACCUACAGAAGAAGCACCGGCUAACUCCGUGCCAGCAGCCGCGGUAAUACGGAGGGUGCGAACGUUAAUCGGAAUUACUGGGCGUAAAGCGCGCGUAGGCGGCUCUGUAGUCGGAUGUGAAAGCCCUGGGCUUAACCUGGGAAUGGCAUUCGAUACUGCAGAACU